GACGAACGCUGGCGGCGUGCUUAACACAUGCAAGUCGAACGGAAAGGCCCGGCGUUUGUUUGUUGCUCGAGUGGCGAACGGGUGAGUAACACGUGAGGAACCUGCCCUUGACUGUGGGAUAACUUCACGAGACUGCGGCUAAUACCGCGUAUAAUCUCCUGCUGCAUGUGGUUGGUUGGAAAGUUUCGGCGGUGGUGGAUGUACUCGCGGCUUAUCAGCUUCUUGGGCUGGUAGUUGCUUACGAGGGCUUUGACGGCUAGCCUGCCUGGGAGCGUGAACGGCCACAUUGGGACUGCGGUACGGCGCAGACUGCUACGGGAGGCAGCAGUGGGGAAUAUUGCACAAUGGGCGGAAGUCUGAUGCAGCAACGCCGCGUGCGGGAUGAUGGGUUUCGGGUUGUAAACCGAUUUCGCCUGUGACGAAGCGUGAGUGACGGUAAUGGGUAAAGAAGCAACGGCUAACUACGUG
rnacentral:rRNA from 1 species